rfam:Gorilla gorilla gorilla genomic chromosome, chr22, whole genome shotgun sequence
AGAAAUAUGUCUCACAAAAGAGUUACUUUGAUAGAAUAAAUUACAGAGGUUUAAACCCUUUUGUUUCUA